rnacentral:tRNA from 1 species
GGCUUGAUAGUUCAGUGGCAGAAUUCAUGCUUUGGGAUGUUAUCUCGACUGUAUGAGGUCCUGGGUUCAAUCCCCAGUCAAGCCC